rnacentral:rRNA from 1 species
AGGAUUAACGCUGGCGGCGUGCCUAACACAUGCAAGUCGAACGAGGUAGCAAUACCUAGUGGCAGACGGGUGAGUAACACGUGGUCAACCUACCGCUUUGUGGGGAUAACUAGCCGAAAGGUUAGCUAAUACCGCAUACGUCGCAGGCCGGCAUCGGUCGACGAUAAAAGGAGCAAUCCGCAAGGUGACGGGACCGCGUCCCAUUAGCUAGUUGGUGAGGUAAUGGCCCACCAAGGCUCCGAUGGGUAGCUGGUUUGAGAGAGCGACCAGCCACACUGGGACUGAGAUACGGCCCAGACUCCUACGGGAGGCAGCAGUGAGGAAUUUUCCGCAAUGGGCGAAAGCCUGACGGAGCGACGCCGCGUGUGGGAAGAAGGCCUUCGGGUCGUAAACCACUGUCGAAGGGGAGAUAUUGACGGUACCCUUGGAGGAAGCCCCGGCUAACUACGCGCCGAGCAGCCGC